rnacentral:rRNA from 1 species
CUUGCCCUUUAGACUGGGAUAACAGAGGGAAACUUCUGAUAAUACUGGAUAAGUUAGUAUAUCGCAUGAUAUGCAAAAUGGAAAGCUACGGCACUAAAGGAGAGCUUUGCGUCCUAUUAGCUAGUUGGUAAGGUAAGAGCUUACCAAGGCGAUGAUAGGUAGCCGGCCUGAGAGGGUGGACGGCCACAAGGGGACUGAGAUACGGCCCUUACUCCUACGGGAGGCAGCAGCC